GACGAACGCUGGCGGCGUGCUUAACACAUGCAAGUCGAACGGAAAGGCCCUGCUUUUGUGGGGUGCUCGAGUGGCGAACGGGUGAGUAACACGUGAGUAACCUGCCCUUGACUUUGGGAUAACUUCAGGAAACUGGGGCUAAUACCGGAUAGGAGCUCCUGCUGCAUGGUGGGGGUUGGAAAGUUUCGGCGGUUGGGGAUGGACUCGCGGCUUAUCAGCUUGUUGGUGGGGUAGUGGCUUACCAAGGCUUUGACGGGUAGCCGGCCUGAGAGGGUGACCGGCCACAUUGGAACUGAGAUACGGCCCAGACCCUACGGGAGGCAGCAGUGGGGAAUAUUGCACAAUGGGCGGAAGCCUGAUGCAGCAACGCCGCGUGCGGGAUGACGGCCUUCGGGUUGUAAACCGCUUUCGCCUGUGACGAAGCGUGAGUGACGGUAAUGGGUAAAGAAGCACCGGCUAACUACGUG
rnacentral:rRNA from 1 species